GUUUCUGUAGUGUAGUGGUUACCACGUUUGCCUAACACGUGAAAGGUCCCUGGUUCGAAACCGCAUGGAAACA
rfam:Ovis aries breed Texel chromosome 1, whole genome shotgun sequence.